AUCAGAUUAAUUAUCAUGACUCCACUAGCUCUUGACAUAAUAAUUAAUCCCUAUAAAUUACCCAAGUGAUAUUAAGAAAAUAAUUUAUAUACUCUAUGAUGUGAGAAAUCAAUUGUUUCAUUAUUCAUCACCCAUUGUGUGAUUUUGAUUUAAUUUGGUUUAUUAUAUAUUAUUUUACUGCUCUAUUAACUUAAUGAUUUGAGCAAUUAUUUAUAGCUUGUGAUAUUAAGUAAUAGAUUUAGAGGAUAUUAUCAGAUAAUUCAUGAUGAAAUGAUGUUUAUGAAUAUUAUGGAGAAUUUGCCAUUUUAACCUGAAGGCCGUAUGCGGUUUGAUCUGAUGAAUUCAUGUUCUUCUACAAAAUUCGUAGAACACAACUAUAAAUGUAAUUUUCCAUUGGCAUAGAGGUUGGUAGUUACCAUUAUUAUUUAAUAUAGAAUAGGUAGCUAAUAGUACCCUUGUCCCUCAGUUUCUUUGUAUAUCUAGAGAAGAAUGACACUGUUGCUGGAGGUUUCUAAUGUCAAGUGAAGAAAACAAAUGAUUUGGUGCGCCCUACUUUUCAUUCUUUUUUUUUCAAGACUACUUAUAAAUCUGUUUCUAUUUGUGCUCUUGGAAAUUGUUUAUAGAUAUCUCUAUCUUGACUUUCUAGCAUAUCCUUCUGAUCGCUACCAGGAUUCCUACUUUUAAAGUGAUGCUUAUUUGCAUUUGCUCAUGUGGAUUUCCUUGAUCAUUUCUCUGUAGAUGUAUAGAUUGGACUGGCCUCAAAGGUUUAGAGGAAAACAAAUUAUACAGGUGCAGUCUUUUUUGCAGUACCUAAUUCCCAAAGCUCUGAAAGCUAAAACUAAAACCAAAUUUUAAAAAAGUAACCCAUUUAUUGACACAUCUGACUUAAUGCAGUGUUGUUUAUAGUUUUUAUCUGAUUUAUUGUGAAUAUUUCUAGAUUUCACUACAGAAAUGUUAAUGUUUUGUCAGGGAUGCUCCUCAUGGUCCUGAUGGCGAUGCUAUGUUAUAAAUAGUAUGUAUACUAUAUUGUCCUACACUCUGGAACAUUCAUGCAUUCUGAAAUACAAUUGGGUGCAAAUGUUGCAUGCAAAAUGUAAUUUGGUGUUCCGUAGUCAUAAACAUCCCGUAGUCUAAGAAUAUAAAAUUUAUAAACUAGUUCUAAAUGUUAAUCUUUGUAACUUUUGGUUUUAGAUCACCUGUAGUCACAAUACAUCUAUGAUAUAUUAUAAAAUUAUAAUCAGUGGUUUCGAUAUCCUUGAAAUAGUUAUUUUAAUGUGGCUAGCCAAAUUCUCAUGUCACAUACAUUAAAGAAAUAGUUGACUGGUUCCACACAUUAUUUGCAGAGAUUAAUGAUGAAUUCCAAAUUAACCUGAGCCAUGUAAACAGCAUGUGAGUUCACGGCUUUUUAUGGGAUGUCUUGGGACACUAAGAUCACAUGUUGCAUCUAUAUUCAACAUAUGUAUUAAUCUGUAUUUAUGACCUUCUCCCUGCCUCCCCUCCUCAGUCUAGGAGAGGAAAUCAUUUUAUAUGCAUUGCAUUAUUACAGUAUCAUUCCUUAUGUAGGAUAUACAGCUUACUAACUACAUAAUAUUUUAGUGAGAGUUGUUUAUAGUAACUUGUUUGUAAAAGCCUAAUUUUUUAACUGUUAUUUUUAGGUAUUUACUACCAGGAAGUACACAAUUCUUCUUGAGAACACCAACAUACAACUUGAAAUACAGUUCACCUGGAAUGGCUCGCUCCAAUGUGUUGUUUACAUCCCGAUAUGGCCAUUUGUGAAACAGAAGGGAAGAUCGCAAUGAGUUAUGCAUAAUAGCAAUUAUUAUCUUCCCAUUUUAACAUGGCAAAGACAGUGACCAUUAAGUACUGUUUAUGUAUAUAUGACAUAUAUAUGUGGGAGAAUAUAUACACACAUGCACUCAAAUAACAUAUAUAUUUAUUAUAAUAUAUGAAAAAGAAUUAGCAGGAAACUGGAUAUAAGAUUUAACCUUUCUGGAAAUGUAAUAAACCAUGUUAAAACUGUUUACACAAAUAUGUGAAUGUCUAGAAUUUGCUAGGUUUAUAAUUAAUACCUUCCUACUAGAAAUGUUAUUUUUGCUGCAGAGUAUAUAAAAGAAUUGAUCUUGAAGAUCCCAUUACAAGUGUUAAAUUAUUUUCUAGAUAACAUGUCUUUUGACUUGAAAAAGCAGUAAUAGUAAAUUACCUUAUUAAUUCUCCUAUAUAUAGUAGCUAUUUAAAAUGGAAAAAAAAAUUGGAAGCCUGGUGUUGCUUGACGGUAGGAUUAAGUAUAAGGUGGGUUUGUCAUUACUAUGGCACACUGUAAAGUACUAUAAAAAUUCCAACCCGAUACUCUAACAUUUUUAUUCCUCUAUGUGGAAAUUUAGCUACCUGUGAAAAUGAUAAUGUACAUUUUCAGUAAGGAUCAUAUUAUGAUCUAAAAUGGAAGACAAUCCAGUGGGUUAAAAAUAAAAUAUACUAGCUUGUAUUUUUACUUUUCAUCAGGAGUCACAAAAAGAGAACGGAAAAUAAUGGUUAAUGGUGACAUCUUACCACAUGAUUUUUCUAUCUCUUACCACUGAACUUUUAUUUGGAAAGUGUGUCUCUGAUGGGUGCAUAUGGUUAAAUACAAUCCCUUCUGUUCUUCAGAAGUGGAAGAGCUGAAAUUUUAAACUUACUUUAAUGUUACAAAAUAAUGUGUCACUCUUAUAAGUUUCUCAGUGUUGAGACCAACUUACAUUGCAAACUCUAAUACAGAGUUUCAUAUUUCAUCAUAGAAAUUAAUCUAAACUAUUUCAAAUAGAAGAUUCUGAUUAGUAGAUAUUAUUAGGCAUGGAUGUGCCCUUGAGAAUUUUAAAAAAUAAAAAUAUAGUAUGAAAUUUUCUUCUUGUCCCAAGUUAUUAUGCAUAAGUUUCAUAGCAGCUUAUUUCCUUUUACAGUUUUGAAAGCAAUGUGUGAGGUUUCAGUUUUCUAUACAAAUAUAAACAGCAGUAGGAUAAAUAGCCAUAGAAAUUACAAUAUUGACCUUUAAGUUUAUUAAACGUCACUCAAUAAUUUUAAUUUCUCAGAGAUGCUAAUUAUUUGCAAAAUUCAUGAAUGUUUUACCUCCUUUUACUAUCCUGAUAGCUAUUUCCAGUAAAUCAAGAAAUGGGCCCAAAGCAGAAGGAGAACUGAAAGAGGCAAAGUGGCCUGCUUUAAUUCACAAGCUGGAUAACUGGCAAGCCAAAGUUGAGGGAAAUAACUUUAUCUGAAAAACUCCAGAAGCUAUUCAAUCUUACCAGGAGAUUUUAAUAGGGAAUUUGGUUUACUUACAGUGAAAGCACAUUUUCAUUCUGUUACACCCUGCUCAUUCUGUAACUAAUGCUUUCCAGAACUGCAUAUGAUUAUAAUGAUUUCCAGAAUUGUAUAAAAAGUAAUCUUUUAAUGUUUAAGUUAUCAUUUAUGAACAUAGCAUGAGAUUACAGCUUAGUUUUUGCUUUAAUAAUCCAACAUUGUAAAUGUUACCAUUUGCUUUCUGUAUUCUGUUGAAGGAGCUAUUGUGACUCAUAUUAUGAUUAUUAGCAACAAAUUUUACUUUACCUUGCAUGUGUAAAAAUGAAAUUAUAACAGGAUCAAAUAUAGAAAUGGCAAUGGUUGUCUCUGUCAGAUGCAAAGAUCUGUACAUAUUUUUUCAUAUAUCUCAACUAGGUCUAAAUAUUCAAAACUUGUCUAUUAAUUCCUUUACCCCAAACUAAAAUGAACUAAACUCAAGCAAAAAGCCCCAAUCUUCUCAUCUAAUGUUUACACAGAGCUAGAUGACAGUGGCUUCUAGACAUCAAGAAAAGGAUUUCAUUCUAAUUCUGUUUUUAAUGAUUAUAGAAUUUUGUUAUGUAACUCAAAAUUUCACAUCUUAAUAUAAUUUAAUCCAAAUGCUUUCUUUCUUCUUUAGCAUGUCAAAGUCAUCCCAUUAAAAAAUUCUCUUUAAACCUAAACAUCUAUAUUACUUGACUGUUCAAAAGUACCAAAAAAAUUUGCAUAAAAUCUAUUAUUUCUAGUUUUCUAUAAAGCACUAUUUUUUUCUAAAAUGUAUAUUCUUUAAAAAAUAAUAAGUAUCUUGAGAAGAGUGAAAAAACAUACCUUCCUUUUCUUUUCUGUAAUGCUAUUUUCCAUUUCGAGUCUUAGUUUAUUUGGUUCUAAGGGUUAAACAAUAAAAAAAGUAUAAUUACAACUAGCUGUGUCGCUGUGACCUGAUGAUUUUUGAAAAUUUCUUUUCUUUUUAAAUGGAGAAUUUUAAGCUUUAAGGACUUAGUUAUCUAAUUAUUUUGUUCUAAUUCUACUUACAAAUAAAUUAAAAUUUGGAAGUAUAUUGAUGAUCAAAAUUUUAUUCCUGACACUGUUUUUUUCUUUUUCUUUUCUUCUUCUUUUUUUAAACUUUAAGUUCCCUUUGAAGUUUUGACUUUGCGUGGACAAAGUCAAGAAAAGAGAAAUCCUGCCUUUUAAACAUUGGUUUAUGGUGGUGUAUUUUUGCCUCAGCAACAAUAAAACUUAGAUAAAAUGUGUUAUUGAAUCAAGUUCAGUUUUUCUGCUCAGAUAUUUAAGAACAAUGUUGUAGUUUCAGUAUCUAAAAAAAAAGAGCAUUAAUUUUCUGGAUCCAUAUGAAUCAAGAUAUAUGACUAUGAAUAACAGGCUUGUGACCAAAAAAUUGUAAUAUUAAAACUUAUUGCACACCUUGAGAUUGCUGCCUUUUUUUGGUAUUUUUUUUUUUUUUGCCUUGUCACGAGUGGGUAAAUGGAAUAGUGAAGGAAAAAUAUUCAGGUGACACAUUUUGCAUUACCUAGGCUGUAUUACCUAAAAGAGCUACAUAAAUCUUUUAUUUUAUCCCCACCUGCUAACUUGAAAACUUUUGGUAAAAUCAUCAUUCAAUAAGCUAAUAUUUUCUAAAUUAAUAAGUCUUACAAAAGUAAUCAGAUAAUACUGAUAUUUCUCUUUCAAAGGCUAACAAUGACAGUCCUUGGUCCUGAGCUGAUUGGUUCAUACGUAACUACUGUACAUGUUACAACAUUGAAUAUUAAUAGAUUAGCUGAAGAUUCUGGGUUUGAAGAUGAGCUUGAAAGCAAUACAUUUGCUACCAUGAAUCAUGACUCAAAUUAUCCCCAUGUGUUUUACUAUCUGUAUAUGAAUGCAAAUGUUGUUACAGAAAAUAUGCUUGAAAUGUCAACACAAUGUGCAAUUAGUAUUGCAUUGUCAUGCUUCAGCAUGUGAUAUCUGUGCAGUGGAAAUUAUUUCAAUUACUCAGAUAUGUUACCAUAAUAAAAAAAGUAUUUAACA
rnacentral:lncRNA from 1 species